rnacentral:rRNA from 1 species
UACAGAGGGUGCAAGCGUUAAUCGGAAUUACUGGGCGUAAAGCGUGCGCAGACGGUUUCGUAAGUCGGGUGUGAAAUCCCCGGGCUCAACCUGGGAAUUGCAUUCGAAACUGCAAGGCUAGGGUACGGAAGAGGGAAGCGGAAUUUCUGGUGUAGCGGUGAAAUGCGUAGAUAUCAGAAGGAACAUCAGUGGCGAAAGCGGCUUCCUGGUCCAGUACCGACGUUCAGGCACGAAAGCGUGGGGAGCAAACAGG